rnacentral:rRNA from 1 species
CUUGGUCAUUUAGAGGAAGUAAAAGUCGUAACAAGGUCUCCGUUGGUGAACCAGCGGAGGGAUCAUUACAGAGUUAUCCAACUCCCAAACCCAUGUGAACAUAUCUCUUUGUUGCCUCGGCGCAAGCUACUCGGGACCUCGCGCCCCGGGCGGCCCGCCGGCGGACAAACCAAACUCUGUUAUCUUCGUUGAUUAUCUGAGUGUCUUAUUUAAUAAGUCAAAACUUUCAACAACGGAUCUCUUGGUUCUGGCAUCGAUGAAGAACGCAGCGAAAUGCGAUAAGUAAUGUGAAUUGCAGAAUUCAGUGAAUCAUCGAAUCUUUGAACGCACAUUGCGCCCAUUAGUAUUCUAGUGGGCAUGCCUGUUCGAGCGUCAUUUCAACCCCUAAGCACAGCUUAUUGUUGGGCGUCUACGUCUGUAGUGCCUCAAAGACAUUGGCGGAGCGGCAGCAGUCCUCUGAGCGUAGUAAUUCUUUAUCUCGCUUCUGUUAGGCGCUGCCCCCCCGGCCGUAAAACCCCCAAUUUUUUCUGGUUGACCUCGGAUCAGGUAGGAAUACCCGCUGAACUUAAGCAUAUCAAUAAGCGGAGGA